UACGAAGGGGGCUAGCGUUGCUCGGAAUCACUGGGCGUAAAGGGUGCGUAGGCGGGUCUUUAAGUCAGGGGGGAAAUCCUGGAGCUCAACUCCAGAACUGCCCUUGAUACUGAAGAUCUUGAGUUCGGGAGAGGUGAGUGGAACUGCGAGUGUAGAGGUGAAAUUCGUAGAUAUUCGCAAGAACACCAGUGGCGAAGGCGGCUCACUGGCCCGGUACUGACGCUGAGGUGCGAAAGCGUGGGGAGCAAACAGG
rnacentral:rRNA from 1 species